GGCAUUCAAAGCUAAUUAUACACAUGCAGCAAGCAAGCAAAACCUCUUCAGGCAGAAUUAAUGGCGCUAAAACAUGGCCUCCAACUCGCAUGGGAUCUCCAGCUGAAACCCUUGGAAAUCGAAACAGACACAACUAAUGUGCUCAAUUGCCUUGAUUAUUCACGUAUAAUACCAUUAUUUGUUGAUUGCAUGUGGUUGAUGCAACUGGAGAGGGUAACGGUCAGGCAUAAUUUCAGGGAAGCAAAUCAAGUGUCGCACCUUUUAGCAAAG
rnacentral:lncRNA from 1 species